GCUAUAAGUCUAGCUGCACCGGUGGUCAUCUUCAACAUCAGCUCCAUCAGCUCCAUCAGCUCCGAGCAAGGACGCCGACGGUUUCAUCCCAUAAAAUUAGUGAAAAUAAAAAGCAGCUGAGCUUGAGCGAUAUCCACCUGCGCAUUUAAAUUCUCACGAACGCCAUGAAUCCAACUCAAUGAAGAUUUCUUCAACUCACCAUACAUUUUUACCAAAUCCAAUGAGGUUGAGCUCUGGGAAGCUAAUACCACUACAUCGAUCUCACGAUUCGUUAGUUUUUGGAGGACAUCUUCCCCUCUCACAGUCCAUCACUUGAAUAGGUUCAUGAUAGGUAUGGUGGCUCGUUGGUCCUUCUUUGUUCCUCCUAAGAAGCUGGUGAUCUCCAGAUGAUUCUGCACUUGAUUGGGGAUACUUUCAUUUUGCUCACUGAUCAUCUUCUGAUUCUUUCCAAAGGAUUUAGUGAUCCACUCUUUUAUGGUCUCCUGUUUGCUAUUUUCAUCAUUGUAAUAGUUGUAUUACCUUGCGAUUAUCCUCUAUCUUCCAUACUUUCUUUAUCAUAUUGCUGUAGUUACUCUUCUCUAUUGAAAGAAUUUGUUCCUUCUCAUUAGAUAUAUCAGCUAGAGCAGCAAAAGAAUUGCCCCUA